rnacentral:rRNA from 1 species
AUUGAACGCUGGCGGCAGGCCUAACACAUGCAAGUCGAGCGGCAGCGGGAAAGUAGCUUGCUACUUUUGCCGGCGAGCGGCGGACGGGUGAGUAAUGCCUGGGAAAUUGCCCAGUCGAGGGGGAUAACAGUUGGAAACGACUGCUAAUACCGCAUACGCCCUACGGGGGAAAGCAGGGGACCUUCGGGCCUGGCGCGAUUGGAGUUGCCCAGGUGGGAUUAGCUAGUUGGUGAGGUAAUGGCUCACCAAGGCGACGAUCCCUAGCUGGUCUGAGAGGAUGAUCAGCCACACUGGAACUGAGACACGGUCCAGACUCCUACGGGAGGCAGCAGUGGGGAAUAUUGCACAAUGGGGGAAACCCUGAUGCAGCCAUGCCGCGUGUGUGAAGAAGGCCUUCGGGUUGUAAAGCACUUUCAGCGAGGAGGAAAGGUUGAUGCCUAAUACGUAUCAACUGUGACGUUACUCGCAGAAGAAGCACCGGCUAACUCCGUGCCAGCCGCCGCCGUAA